rnacentral:rRNA from 1 species
UAUGGCUGUCGUCAGCUCGUGUUGUGAAAUGUUGGGUUAAGUCCCGCAACGAGCGCAACCCUUAUCCUUUGUUGCCAGCGGUUAGGCCGGGAACUCAAAGGAGACUGCCAGUGAUAAACUGGAGGAAGGUGGGGAUGACGUCAAGUCAUCAUGGCCCUUACGAGUAGGGCUACACACGUGCUACAAUGGCGCAUACAAAGAGAAGCGACCUCGCGAGAGCAAGCGGACCUCAUAAAGUGCGUCGUAGUCCGGAUUGGAGUCUGCAACUCGACUCCAUGAAGUCGGAAUCGCUAGUAAUCGUAGAUCAGAAUGCUACGGUGAAUACGUUCCCGGGCCUUGUACACACCGCCCGUA